rnacentral:rRNA from 1 species
UGAGUAAUGUCUGGGAAACUGCCCGAUGGAGGGGGAUAACUACUGGAAACGGUAGCUAAUACCGCAUAACGUCUUCGGACCAAAGUGGGGGACCUUCGGGCCUCACACCAUCGGAUGUGCCCAGAUGGGAUUAGCUAGUAGGUGGGGUAAUGGCUCACCUAGGCGACGAUCCCUAGCUGGUCUGAGGGGAUGACCAGCCACACUGGAACUGAGACACGGUCCAGACUCCUACGGGAGGCAGCAGUGGGGAAUAUUGCACAAUGGGCGCAAGCCUGAUGCAGCCAUGCCGCGUGUAUGAAGAAGGCCUUCGGGUUGUAAAGUACUUUCAGCGGGGAGGAAGGCGGUGAAGUUAAUAACUUCACCGAUUGACGUUACCCGCAGAAGAAGCACCGGCUAACUCCGUGCCAGCAGCCGCGGUAAUACGGAGGGUGCAAGCGUUAAUCGGAAUUACUGGGCGUAAAGCGCACGCAGGCGGUCUGUCAAGUCGGAUGUGAAAUCCCCGGG